GACGUAGGUGGCGAACGUUAUCCGGAAUUAUUGGGCGUAAAGGGUGCAUAGAUGGCCUGAUAAGUUAGCAGUGGGAAAUCGAGGCUCAACCUCGUGGAAGCUGGUAAUACUGUCAGGCUCGAGUGCAGGAGAGGUUAACGGAACUCCAUGUGGAGCGGUAAAAUGUGUAGAUAUAUGGAAGAACACCAAUAACGGCGAAGGCAGUUAACUAUUCUGUUACUGACAUUGAGGCACGAAAGCGUGGGGAGCAAAACGG
rnacentral:rRNA from 1 species